ACGCUGGCGGCAGGCCUAACACAUGCAAGUCGAGCGGAAACGACACUAACRAUCCUUCGGGUGCGUUAAUGGGCGUCGAGCGGCGGACGGGUGAGUAAUGCCUAGGAAAUUGCCUUGAUGUGGGGGAUAACCAUUGGAAACGAUGGCUAAUACCGCAUAAUGCCUACGGGCCAAAGAGGGGGAUCUUCGGACCUCUCGCGUCAAGAUAUGCCUAGGUGGGAUUAGCUAGUUGGUGAGGUAAUGGCUCACCAAGGCGACGAUCCCUAGCUGGUCUGAGAGGAUGAUCAGCCACACUGGAACUGAGACACGGUCCAGACUCCUACGGGAGGCAGCAGUGGGGAAUAUUGCACAAUGGGCGAAAGCCUGAUGCAGCCAUGCCGCGUGUAUGAAGAAGGCCUUCGGGUUGUAAAGUACUUUCAGUUGUGAGGAAGGGGGURWMGUUAAUAGCKKYRYMUCUUGACGUUAGCAACAGAAGAAGCACCGGCUAACUCCGUGCCAGCAGCCGCGGUAAUACGGAGGGUGCGAGCGUUAAUCGGAAUUACUGGGCGUAAAGCGCAUGCAGGUGGUUCAUUAAGUCAGAUGUGAAAGCCCGGGGCUCAACCUCGGAACUGCAUUUGAAACUGGUGAACUAGAGUGCUGUAGAGGGGGGUAGAAUUUCAGGUGUAGCGGUGAAAUGCGUAGAGAUCUGAAGGAAUACCAGUGGCGAAGGCGGCCCCCUGGACA
rnacentral:rRNA from 1 species